rnacentral:rRNA from 1 species
AGAACGAACGCUGGCGGCAGGCUUAACACAUGCAAGUCGAACGCUUCCUUCGGGGAGAGUGGCAGACGGGUGAGUAACACGUGGGAACGUACCCCUUUGUUCGGAAUAACCCUGGGAAACUAGGGCUAAUACCGGAUACGGCCGAGAGGCGAAAGGUUUACCGCAGAGGGAUCGGCCCGCGUCCGAUUAGCUAGUUGGUGAGGUAAUGGCUCACCAAGGCAUCGAUCGGUAGCUGGUCUGAGAGGAUGACCAGCCACAUUGGGACUGAGACACGGCCCAAACUCCUACGGGAGGCAGCAGUGGGGAAUAUUGGACAAUGGGCGCAAGCCUGAUCCAGCCAUGCCGCGUGAGUGAUGACGGCCUUAGGGUUGUAAAGCUCUUUUACCUGGGAAGAUCAUGACGGUACCAGGAGAAUAAGCCCCGGCUAACUUCGCGCCAGCAGCCGC